rnacentral:rRNA from 1 species
CAGCCGUAAACUAUGCGCGUUAGGUGUAUCGGUGACCACGAGUUACCGAGGUGCCGAAGGGAAACCGUGAAACGUGCCGCCUGGGAAGUACGGUCGCAAGGCUGAAACUUAAAGGAAUUGGCGGGGGAGCACCACAACAGGUGGAGCCUGCGGUUUAAUUGGACUCAACGCCGGGAAGCUCACCGGAUAGGACAGCAGAAUGAUUGCCGGGCUGAAGACCCUGCAUGACUAGCUGAGAGGAGGUGCAUGGCGUAG